rnacentral:rRNA from 1 species
AUGGGCCCACACAGGAAGUUGGGGAUCUAUGUGGGGUACAAAUCGCCGUCGAUUAUCAAGUACCUGGAACCCCUGACUGGGGAUCUGUUCACAGCCCGUCACGCUGAUUGCAUAUUUAAUGAGGAACAUUUUCCGGCAUUAGGGGGAGAUUUCAAGUACCAGAAAGAAUGCACGGAAAUUGAUUGGAAUGCUCAUGCCAUUUCAUCCUCUGAUCCACGUACCCAAGAGACCGAACUUCAAGUUCGGAAGAUCAUUAAUUUGCAACAUCUUGCAAAUAAUCUGCCAGAUUCAUUUACUGAUUUGAAAGGUGUUACAAAAUCCUUAAACCCGGCCAGAAACGCGCCAGAAAGAGUGGAGGUACCAAUAAAAACCACUCAACUCCCUAUUCCUAAAAAGAGGGGGAGUAGUACGGCCUCU